CAGAUUAGAUCUUGAUAUAAGAAUUUUAUUUACAUUAAAAUGAUAAUUGUUUAAAUGCAAUUUAAUUUGA
rnacentral:tRNA from 1 species